UGCUUGCCCAAGCUAAGGAGGAGGAAGGAAGGGGUCUGGCAAUUGUAUAGAUCCCCCAGCUGGCUCAGCACAGUCUCAGCGCAGACAGGAACAUCUUUCCCAGUGAUAUUUUUCUUGCCACCAGAGCUUAGUAGUGUUUUGGGGCUUUUUGAGACAGGUGUCUGCUGCCCUUUCUCUCCUCCCUGCAGAGCUGUGUGGUGACAUUUCUUGCUGCUGCCUGGCUGGCUGGUUGUCUUGGGCCCUCCCUGACACCCUGCAGGGCCUUUAGCAGUGCAGAGAGCAGAGCAUGGCUGGCAAACGGCUUGCAAGAGCAAAGGGGGAUCUAUAGCUCCCAAAAUAAGUGGAUUAUGCCAUUUUGGUCCCCAUAGAACAAACCCAGAUCCAUACAGAGUGAUUCUGAAGCUGUUUCAGCAGGACUCCCUGCUUGCACAAACCUUCUUUGUCUCCUCUGGAUGGAUGGAGCUGUAACUCUCACACUCGCAGGUGUUCUCAGACCCCAGUACCUUUCCAGAAGCAUGGCCAAGAGGAUGGAGCAAGUUGCUGGGAGGAAGGUAAGAAAAGCAUAUCAUCCCUGGCUGGGGACACAAUGCUGUCCUUCCCAUCCAUGUGAGAUCUAGUCCACCUCCAUGUCCCUCAGCCAAUGGACCCAGCCACAUCCUCACCCACUGCCCUUCCCAGCCUGCCACCUUCUCCCGGCCACAGCCACCAAAGCACCUGGAAACCAGGAAGGACCUUGGCUGAAAACUGAAAAAGGACACUGAAAACACUGACUAAAAUUGUAUCAGCAGCGUUGCUCAGUCUCACCAUGGCCAGCUGGGCUGUGGCAGACAUCUGGGUGAGCUUCCCAGGGACAGUGGAUGGGAAGAGCCCUGAGGUGCUGUGCUCGUUGGCCCAGGCCAGCCAUGGCUGUGACCAUCACCUACCCGAGAACACCUGCAAGUGUGAGAGUUACAGCAUCAGCCAUUCCCUUCAUAAAUAAUUUUGCUUAAACAAAUAGCAUCAAGAUCAUUUUACUUGUUAUGGGAAUUAUCUUGAAUAAAGCAAAUAUUGAGGUUAUCAGAGAGAUAUGUCUUAUCUAAGGCAAAUGGCAAUUUUUAGGGGGGUCAUCACUGUUGACUUAUUAAACAUGUCCCUGAUGGGAUGUCUGGCAUGUACUUAUCCAUAGAAAUGCCUCACUUUUUCUGAGUAGCCUUUGAGAACCAAAGCAUGUCCUGGUCUCUUGCCCAACUUCUAUUUCCCAUUCAAUUACCUGUUAUCUCAAAGCAAAUGAGCAAGAGAGGAGGAGAAGCAGCAACUCUCCAAACUGAGGUGCUGGGCCACAGCUGGGCCUCCAAGUAUAACAGCAACACAAACAAGAAGUCUGUGUAGCCAAAUGGACUCGAUAUCUCACCAUCCUGGCCAUUCUCCAUCUCCUUUCUACAGAAGCUUUCAGCCCACCAUUCUGCUCUGUCUCAUUUGAGAUGUAGCUGACAUUAGAGAUAGAAAAUCUUUCAAGUUAUUUUAACUGAGUCAAUGAACAGCCAUCCCAGGAUCAAGCCAUGAACCUGCAAUCUGAGGACGAUCCUUUUCUUUCCCUCUUACUUCUCAUGGACUGGCAAGGAACAGUUUAUAUCUUUGAAACUAUAAAUAGGACUGGAAAACCAAGUACUGCACAGGUAAAUCAGCAGCAUUAAGGAUGUCUUCAACUACAUCAACACCUCAAUUUUCAUGACUCAUUCAGACCAAUUGCUCUUUGCAGUAGCUGAGCAGGUUGCCAGCAUUGAGGGGCCCACCUGCAUCUCCCUGAGAGACCUGGUGACAUUACCUCUUUUGGAAAGCUGAAAAAAUGAGAAACUAGGACAUUAAGGUCAAAAUUGCUACUUUCCAAUUACUAAGAGUGCUCAGCCUGAUAUAUUUCUGAAUGUUCCAUGUUUCAUAGCACCAAGCAGACUUUGCAGUUUGAACAUAAAGACUUUGCACUGCCUCUGAGCAUUCAGACAUCAGAAUAUCUGAAGUAUUAAUGGAGAGCUUGUGCCCUUACAUCCCUGCAGAAGCACAGCCAAAUAAGUGGAUAUCUCCCACCUCUCCCCUCUCUUCCCACCUGAGGUGCACCUAUACAUGCCUGUUCAGCAGACCCAUGAAGGGACAGGAGAGACAAGAGAGCACAAAGCAAAUGAUCAUUCCUGUCCAGGGACUUCACCUUGGCUCCUCAUAUGGAAGGCACUCAGGUGCUAUAAAGUGUGGUGGCAAUGCAUCACAUUAAAAUAAAUGAGUGUCUCAUACUGUGCACAGAAAAAAAAAAAUAGGAAUACACCAAAAAAGUGUGUGUGAAUAGUUUGCCACAUACUUUGUGCAGCUUGCAUGAGGGAGGUGCAGGGAAGAGAUGAUUUCUCCAGCCUGGUGUAGGAACACCCUCCUCAGACCAUCUGUUCUCCCUCAUCUAACCCGCCACCUGCUUUCUUCAGCAGUCACUGAAAGAGCCCCCCGAGCCCUGUGUGCUCCCAGUGAGCCCCCAGCCCCUCCUGGAGUGCAAAGACUGAGAGCUGGAGGGAAGUGGCACACAGCACAUGAAGAGUGCCCCAUCACCUCUUACAGCUGGAUUCACCUUGUGUCCAGGAGCAAAACAGAAGGAAGUCACCUCUGUCACUGCCACUGAGCAGGGUUUGCCCCUUGCCAAGCCCCCUGUUUGGCUGCCCAUCCCCAGGCUGUGGGAGAAACCAGGGAGUGCAUGGUACAUGGACACCAAGUUGUUACCAUGCCAUAGGAGUACUGGCCAUGUGGGAGACAUUCCAGCUGCUGAAUACAGCCUUGGCCAGAUGGAACAGGGCUUGAUGAAAACAAG